CCACAAUAUUUCAAAGACAUGGAAACUGCUGCAAUACUUAUUCAAGGCACUUCAGUACAGAGCUUCUGAACAUUAUAUAAACCAAGAUGAAAUUCCUGCCUGAGGUUACAGCAAAUUCCUCGCUCAACAGACAUGCUUGAGGUACAACUUGUGUUUAUAUUAGAAAAAGAAAAAAUUCAUGCAGAUUUGUCCUGAGCCAAGCCAUCAUUCUGAAAAUCCUCUUCCCUCUGCCUGAAGGUGAAAUUGACAUCUACAACCUUGAUCUCUUCCCUCUAAAUUGCUGUCCUAUCUCUGGAGUCAGUAUGUAAGGAUGAAGAGUCCUUCCAACCAAAGAGCUGAGACAGAUGAUAUUAAGAUCACUCAUCCUGCAUAUGGAUAUCUGAAUUCCAGCCACAGGUAAGCUGAAAUAUCUAAAGCAAAAAUACAAAAAAGAUUCCCCUCCUCUUUAGACAGCAUAAUGACUACUCAACAGUUCAUGCUACUCUUUCAGUGUUCAUCAAAUCAAGUGGAGGAAUUGAGAGAGCUUAAAUCAGGCUACAUAAGCUGACUUUUUUUUUCCCCAUCAUGUUCCAAAACAGUAUGUGGGUUUUUCCAAUCUACUGAAGGAAAGAGGGGCCUACCCUCCAACAGCACUUCUUUUUUUUUUUUUUUUUUUUACAAAC